rnacentral:tRNA from 1 species
GGAGAUGUACCCAAGCGGUUGAAGGGUCUGCACUCGAAAUGCAGUAGGCACCUAAUAAGUGCGCGAGAGUUCGAAUCUCUCCAUCUCCGCCA